CACUGUCUAAAGACAAAGCUUCUCUCCGGAGAUGAUCAUACACAGGAAAGGAAACAAAUUAUUUUCCCAAGAUUCCCAUUGUCAUCUGUUUGCGAAUUGUCACUGGAAAGGAACAGGAAUCUUGUAAGGGAGGAGUGCUUGGGAGGAUAAGAAAGAAGGGAGAAAAACCAGAAUGGAAAAAAGAAAAAGGAGAUGUGCCUGGAACCUCCCCUCAGCUCUCAAUGGACAUGGCAUUGAUCAGCUGUUCCACUUUAUAUGACAGCCGCUGCCUCCGUGCCUGUUCAUCCUGUUCAAGGGCCCCUAUGAUCUGGAGGGGAAAGAGAAGCACAGAAGUCACACGGACAUCAGAGAUCUUUGGAGUUCAUUUCUUUUUUUUUAAUGUUUCAUCCUUACAACCACCCUGUGAGCUCUAGGGAUGGAGAGCCCAUCUCCACUCUCGGAAGCCUUGCUAAGGGUCUCAGUGCUCGGAGUGAAGCCUAUUCCUCAACGGUAACAUAAGGCAGCAUUAUUUUCUUGGACUCUCACACAAAACCAUCGGGCAUAUUGAACCCAUAUUGACAGUGCCCACUGCUAUUGUCUGGAGGACAAGUGCAGAGAGCCCUGGGCACUUCCACUGAGCAAGGACAACGGUCUCCACCUAUGCUUCAUGCCCAGCCAGCUUGGGCCUCCGCUCCCAGCAUCAUUUCCCAGAGCUGGCCUGGCCUGGCUAAGGCGGAACUAUGCCUAGAGGAAUGGGUUCCCCAGGGAGUCUUUUCAACAGGUCUCCUCCUCCUGAAAACGCCAGUUCAUUCAAGUGUCUAGGCUGUGGGAAGUCAUGGAGAGAGCUUGGGGGGGGGACUGUUGUGUGGCUGGCAUCUCAAAGAAUGACUUGCUGCAGGUUGGGGGCUGCUCUUUGUCCCCAAAGGAGCUUGUCAGAUGUGAAGGGAUUUCCUCCCCAAAGGAGGUUUUAAUCAGGGGAGAUGAUUAUUCUCUGCUUCUUUGGCCAUGGAGUGAAGGACAAACCCAGCCCACCCCCUUCCCAAAUCCCCAAACAGCUGCUGCUUUCUCAUCAUUUUCAAGGCUGUGAUUUUCCAUCUCCAGCUACACCCUUAGAGCCCUAACCCUUUGGACUCUUUUUGGGGAGCAAUGGGGUAGAGUAGGAAGAGUGAUGAAUAGAUCAGGAGCUAAUGGACCUGUGUUCAAAUCCCACUUUUGUUCCUUACUCUGUGUAAUCUUGAGCAAAUCACUUAUUUCUCUGUUUCCUGAGUUUUUGAUUGAUUGGUCAAUCCCCAGCUCAGUUUUGCAUUUUUUUAUGGAGCAGUGAAAACCCUGGAAAGCCCCGGCCUUGACACUUAAUAUUGGUAUGACGUUGGACAAGUCACUUUGAA